UACGUAGGGCGCAAGCGUUGUCCGGAAUUAUUGGGCGUAAAGAGCUCGUAGGCGGUUUGUCGCGUCUGCUGUGAAAUCCUCAGGCUCAACUUGGGGCGUGCAGUGGGUACGGGCAGACUAGAGUGCGGUAGGGGAGACUGGAAUCCCUGGUGUAGCGGUGGAAUGCGCAGAUAGUCAGGAGGAACACCGGUGGCGAAGGCGGGUCUCUGGGGCAG
rnacentral:rRNA from 1 species